AAUUCGUGACCUUUCUUUCGUAUCUUGCGACACUACGCCUUUCUUCCCCUUUUUCACGGUCACCAUGUGUAUAUCAAUUAAAUAGAAUGCGUUCACGGUCAGUCAUUUCGAAAUUAGAUGUUUAACCGCGCUUAUGACGUGUUUCCGGUAAAGAAAAUAUAGAAAUUGUCGCUAGUGUCAAGGUAUUCGAAACGCGAAGUAGUUUGGCGGGAAUAUAUUUCUAUAAAACGAUGAAAUAUGUAUCAUAUUUUUACGUAUUAUACCAAGAUUUCUUCCGCAUUUAACAAUAGUGAUUAAAUGAAUACCAAACACGGAUAUUAUAGCAGAUUAACAAAAAUAAUUGAUAUCAAUAUCUUUAAUAUAUUUCUACAAAUAAAAAUUAAUUGAUGAUUGCAACUCAAUGUUUAAUAAAAAAAAAGAGUAUAGUGAUAUCGUUUUCUUUCUUCAUAUCUUAAUUCAGAAAGAAUUGUACAAAUUAUAGGAAGAAAUAUCGUAGAGAAGUUGUGUGUAUAUUUGAAAUACCCGCCUGAUACACCCAUCUUUACUGGUUCUCCAGGUACUAACAGGGUAUAAUUUGCAAUUAUUUUCCUAUUUCAACAAGGAAUAACUAAUAACAAUUUAUCUUUACCUUAACUUUAAUGUAAUUCAUUCCUUAAUUAUCAUUUUUAUGUAAUCACAACAUUGCUUAGUUUUAACAUAAACAUUCUUAUAACUAUAAUAUUAUUUGCAACAAUCGUUAAUGAUAAAAAUUGCUGGAGCGGUCUAUAAAAUCGAAGAAAAUUACAUUGAAGAGAAAAAUAAGAAAACAUUAUGUCAAGGAUAAUGACCGAUCGAGUUUUGUAUUAUACAAUUUGAUGUGACCCUAUUCGAUUUGAGGCAGGUAUUACAGUACAGUUCCGUCAUACCGAUCGAUCGUUAUCUCUACACUUUGGUAAUGGUUAUGUAUAUAAUAUGAAUACAUAGAUCAAGUUAUAUCCUCAUCAAUAAGAACAUUUAUUAUCAACAUUUUUUAUAUUUUCAUUUAUUAAUACAAGCAGAAAAUUUUGAUAAAUACAAUUGCGAUAAGGUACAUGUCUUUGGGGUGGUUUCGAGUUUGCGCUGUUUAAGAUACAAGAACGAGAUACAAGGUCAAUCUUUCAUGAAGAAGGAGGUCAACAGGGCGCGACUUGCGUAACCCUGGCGUACGGCCAGUAUGUUACGAAGUACAACGCCAGAGUUCAAUGGAGUAACUUCAAGUAAAGUAUAUUUAUACACCUUGAAGACACGUACAUACGUAGUGGACCUUGUAGAGAAUAGACUAAUGCUAAAAAUGUCCUUUGUCUACAUCAAGUAAAUUCCACUGCGCGUGCAAGUAUUCAUAGUGAGAAUUAAUCAUAUCAACUGAUAUCAGCCGAGCAUAAACCUAUGGAUACUGACAUUUCAGUUAUAACGGGAAAUUCCACAUUUACUGAGUUCAGUGAUAAUAUUCGAUAUACUGUUGUGAUUAUCUACACAAAAACACAUGUAAGCAGAAUGACUCGUGUGGCUCAUAUUAUGCAUUAUAAUCAGUAAUUUGACGACUGUGUAGAUAUAUAUAAAUAAAAA